rnacentral:rRNA from 1 species
CAAUAGCGUAUAUUAAAGUUGUUGCAGUUAGAACGCUCGUAGUCGGAUUUCGGGGCGGGGCGACCGGUCUGCCGUUGGGUACGCACUGGUCGGCGCGUCCUUCCUUCCGGAGACCGUGCCUACUCUUAACUGAGCGGGUGCGGGAGACGGAACGUUUACUUUGAAAAAUCAGAGUGUUUCAAGCAGGCAGCUCGCUCUUGCAUGGAUUAGCAUGGGAUAAUGAAAUAGGACUUUGGUGCUAUUUUGUUGGUUUCGAACACCGAAGUAAUGAUGAGAAGGGACAGUCAGGGGCAUUUGUAUUCGACCGAGAGAGGUGAAAUUCUCAGACCAGUCGAAGACAAACUACUGCGAAAGCAUCUGCCAGGGAUGUUUUCACUGAUCAAGAACGAAAGUUAGGGGAUCGAAGACGAUCAGAUACCAU